AUUGAACGCUGGCGGCAGGCUUAACACAUGCAAGUCGAGCGGGGGCUUCGGUCCUAGCGGCGAACGGGUGAGGAAUGCCUGGGAAUCUGCCUGGUAGUGGGGGAUAACGAUUCGAAAGGGUCGCUAAUACCGCAUACGUCCUACGGGAGAAAGCAGGGGACCUUCGGGCCUUGCGCUAUCAGAUGAGCCCAGGUCGGAUUAGCUAGUAGGUGAGGUAAAGGCUCACCUAGGCGACGAUCCGUAGCUGGUCUGAGAGGAUGAUCAGCCACACUGGAACUGAGACACGGUCCAGACUCCUACGGGAGGCAGCAGUGGGGAAUAUUGGACAAUGGGCGAAAGCCUGAUCCAGCCAUGCCGCGUGUGUGAAGAAAGGCCUCGGUUGUAAAGCACUUAAGCGGGGAGGAAAGGGGCGUUCUGGCUAAUAAUCCAGGAGUAUUGACGUUACCCGCAGAAUAAGACACCGGCUAACUACUGUGCCAGCAGCCGCGGUAA
rnacentral:rRNA from 1 species